UACGAAGGGUGCAAGCGUUACUCGGAAUUACUGGGCGUAAAGCGUGCGUAGGUGGUUUGUUGAGUCUGUCGUGAAAGCCCCGGGCUCAACCUGGGAAUUGCGAUGGAGACUGCAAGGCUUGAAUCUGGCAGAGGGGGGUAGAAUUCCACGUGUAGCAGUGAAAUGCGUAGAGAUGUGGAGGAACACCGAUGGCGAAGGCAGCCCCCUGGGUCAAGAUUGACGCUCAUGCACGAAAGCGUGGGGAGCAAACAGG
rnacentral:rRNA from 1 species